rnacentral:lncRNA from 1 species
CACACCUGACCAAGGAGGUAAAGGACUUAUAUGCCGAGAACUAUAAAACAUUAAUCAAGGAAAUUAAAGAAGAUGUAAAGAUCAUUCCUUCUUAAGGGCAGAUAGUAUUCUAUGACAUGGAUAUGUUAACAUCCGUUUAUCCAUUCACUUGCUGAUGGUCACUUGGGUUGCUUCCAGUUUGGCACCACUAAAAAUAAAGCAGCUAUAAAUAUUCAUGUGCAGUUCUGCAUGGACAUGUGUGAUCUUGGGCAAACACAGAAGACUGAAAUUGUUGGCCCUUAUGGUAGAUCUAUAUGUAACUUUUUAAGACAUUGACAACACAUUAUCAAAAAUGGUUUUUGCAGUUUACAUUCCCACCAGGAAUCUCUAAGCAGUCCCAUCCCUCUACGACCUCAAAAUAUUUUGUAGUUUCUUCUUUGAUUUCUUUUUUGAAGCAUAGGCUACUUAGACACAUUGUUUGGUUUCCUAACAUUAAAAUUUUUCAGACUUAAUUCUGUUGUGAACUUCCAAUUUAAUUCCAUUAAGAUUAGAAAACAUACUUUGCAUCACUUGAAUCCUUGUAAAUACAUCAAGAUUGUUGUAUUGCCCAUUAUAUGGUCAAUCUGGGUAAAUUCUUUGUGUGCAGUUGACCUGUAUGUGUAAUCUGCUGUUUUAGCAUGAAUUAAUCUAUAAAUGUCAAUUAGUUUAAAUUGGUAGUUUUCUUGAAGUAUACCUGAUUUACAAUGUCAUGAUAAUUUCUGCUGUACAACAAAGUGAUUCAGAUAUGUGUCUUUUGUAUUUUUAAAAUUCAAAUAGGUGAUUGUAUAUCUAUACCAACUGUACUGUAACAAGAUAUAAAUUUUAGUGACAUAGCAAAUUAAAUUAUGAAAGUAAGUUAGGGCAGAUACUACAUAAAGCUUGCCAAAAAUAUAUGCUUUUUACUAAGUAGCAUUUUACAUAAUUAUUAAGAAAUCAUACAUUAAAACUUCUAUCUAAUCAGUAGACAUCUGGUUUGAGGUCUAAAGGAAGAUCGAGCAAACUGUGUAAGAGUUCUUGCUUCAAACACUAACAACAAGAGCUAAUGAGGAAAUCAUUGAGUAAGUGGAUCCUGAGAGCCUGAACCAAAGGGUGACAGAACAUGACCAAUGGAAAGCAACAGAAAGAGACCUGCGAGAAGGUCCAUCUAAAAUCCUUUAUAGGCUUGUCACAUAAAUUGAAUUCUUUCCACUCAAUGUACCUCUGCAAUUAGAGUGGGUCAAGUGUAUACUUAGAGACAUGUAUUUAUAUGUAUCUGUUUCUCCCUUGUUUGUAGUAAUUUCCUACAACAUAAUGAAUAUUACUUAAAACAGAAUGAGAUGUCUAAACAUUUGAAAAUAUAUUUAACCACAUAAUUAAAAACAAUGUAACUACAAGUUUAAUAAUUUUUGUUGCCAAUACAAAUGCUGAAGAGUCAAAAAAGAUAAUAAGAAAAUAGGCAUUUUUCAUAUACUGCCAACUGCAUACUCCUUUUGGGCAUUUUAGCUUCACAAAUAAAAAUGUUGAAUAGUAUGAUUGCAUAAUGAUUUUUAAUUAUGUACCUAAAGAAAUACUGUAUACUCAGCAAACAUUGUUAUUAAGAAUGAAAAAGAAUAUAAAACCACAUGAAUUCUUAAAAAUAGGAUAUUGUUAAAUAUAGGAUAUAACCAUCCCUUGAAUAUUAGAAUGUCAUCAAAAAAUUUAAAGAAUAUAAAGAAUAUUGAUCAUAGGGUAAUUUCCAUAAUGAAGUUAAGAAGAAAAAGGACGAUAAAGGUAUAGUUCUGUGAAUGAAUCACUAAAGAUACAAUGCUGGUGGAGUUGACUAUGGAGAUGAAGAAAACUGAAUUUGAAUCUCUUGCCUCAAGCUAUUCACAAAAGUUGAUUACAGUCGUAUGAAGUUUUUUGAUUGAAACAGCAUAGAUUAAAACCUUCAAAAGGUAAUUUUGAUGCUGACAAAAUGAAGUAGCUAAAACUAGACAAACAUAUGCAUAUUAUAUAUGUAUAAAUAAUGGGUCAAAUGAAGUGAUAAAUAUUUUAUAUACAUACAUAUGUACAUAGGCAUACACACACAUUCAUGAAGUAUAUCAUAGUAAUUUAAAUUAUUAAUAUUUAAGACUAACAGAAAUAAACAAAUAAUAUUACAAAUAACCACAUAACAACUAUCAAGUUUACUAAAUAAAAUAUACAUAAAAUAAUCAAUUUAAAUUUGUGCCUCCUUCAUGAAGAAUUACUAGGUAUGAAAAUAAAAGUGUCUUUCCAAAUAUCUAUGUUUUUAAAUACUUUUUAAUAAUGAUAGCUACCACAAAGUCACAGCAAGAAAGUCCUAAUUCACAUUUAAUCAUGCAUACUACAAAAAUUAAUAUGUAUUAAAGGUGGCAUUACAGGUCAUUUGUGAAUUUAUGCAUGAAUUACUUGAAAAACAGUGUUGGGGGGAUUGAUUAAGAUGAAAAAAAGUAAAAUUUGAAUCCCUUACCUCAAGCCAUUCACAAAAAUCAGUAACAGACAUAGGAAAUUUUAGCUUGACAGACAAUAGAUUAAAACCUUUCAAAGUCAUUUUGACAGAGCAAAAUGAAAUAGUUUAUACAAGGCUGACUCAUUCACAGAAGAACAUUAAAAUUUGAGCAAAAUACAUAUAAUAAAAAUGUAUAAAACAAUGAAUACAUGAGAAAAAUCAAGGCAUGCAAGAUUUGAGGGCUAUGGUCAAUGAAAGAAAAGCAGUACAUUGAGCUAUAUUUUCACAUCUACAUUUUUCCCUAACUGCAUUUUCUCUAAAUCUCAGCACAAAGGGGAAGGUAAUAAAAGUAGAAAGCAGCAAUCAUUUUGGGCUGAGAAAAAUAAAGAUCAAAGUUUGGGGACUGUAAAGUAGCUAGAACUAAGGGACAAAAUCCUGGAGAAGACUGAAAUGCAGAGAAGUUCCACAAAUACUUCAUACAAACCAUUCUAAGCUGUAAGCUCAGCAUGUUCAGAGCAAGCCUCCAUGAAACAUGGCGUAAAAAUCCAUCUGGUUAGCUAAAGAGUUGAGUAGUAAUGUAAUCGAACAGGACCCUAUGGGACUUUCCCAGAAUAGACCCCCACUUAUGUCCUCUGCCUGCCUUUCUUCUGUAGAAAAACUUUAGUCAAAGAAUAAACUUCAUCAGAGAAGUGAGAUAAUGCAGAAAGAAAGAAAAACAGUCAAGCAAGACAAAAUAAUAAUUGUUUAGCCAUUCAACAAAGUCAAGGACAUUUAAUUCUUCCUCAGGGGCUAUAGAUAAUAUUCUGAGCCAUGUCUUUUGAGCUGUUUUGCAGAUACUGAAACCCCCACCCAGUGGAAGAAGUUACCUAUAUGCUGCUCACAAGCAUGAGGUUGGAAUCAGAAGGUUGAUGAUGCUGACUCCCAAUUACCUCACCACCAACCAAUCAGAAGAAGGUCCACUAGCUGAUCACACCGUGCUCCUUGAACACUAUAAGACUCCUCACU